AUUGAACGCUGGCGGCAGGCUUAACACAUGCAAGUCGAGCGGAGAUGAGGUGCUUGCACCUUAUCUUAGCGGCGGACGGGUGAGUAAUGCUUAGGAAUCUGCCUAUUAGUGGGGGACAACAUUCCGAAAGGAAUGCUAAUACCGCAUACGUCCUACGGGAGAAAGCAGGGGAUCUUCGGACCUUGCGCUAAUAGAUGAGCCUAAGUCGGAUUAGCUAGUUGGUGGGGUAAAGGCCUACCAAGGCGACGAUCUGUAGCGGGUCUGAGAGGAUGAUCCGCCACACGGGGACUGAGACACGGCCCAGCCUCCUACGGGAGGCAGCAGUGGGGAAUAUUGGACAAUGGGGGGAACCCUGAUCCAGCCAUGCCGCGUGUGUGAAGAAGGCCUUAUGGUUGUAAAGCACUUUAAGCGAGGAGGAGGCUACUGAGACUAAUACUCUUGGAUAGUGGACGUUACUCGCAGAAUAAGCACCGGCUAACUCUGUGCCAGCCGCCGCAGUAAUAC
rnacentral:rRNA from 1 species